UGAGAGUUGAUGAGAGUUGAGAAGCGAGAGUUUGUAUGAGAGUUUUCAUCAACUCUCAUGCAAACUCUCGCUUCUCAACUCUCAUCAACUCUCAUGCAAACUCUCGCUUCUCAACUCUCAUCAACUCUCAUG